GGGGUAAGAAACCUGUCCAUGACUUCUAAUCAAUGGAUAAAGUGCUUAGUAACACUUUUACUCCU
rnacentral:tRNA from 1 species